UAGAUUUUUUGGUCCGUUUUGGGUUCCCCCUAUCCUUCUCCGUUGUCGUCAUGGGCAGCCGUCGUUACUUCGGUGUUUGCCAGGACGAUUGCGGAGUGGUCCUAUCGCUGUCUCCGCCGUGGCAUCGCGGGGUUGAUGUGUACGAUCGCAGCAGUCUCUUCUCCUUUGCUGCGUGGGGUGGCGGGCCUGCACGACAACAUGGCCUCUAGCAACUCGCGGGCCGUGCGCGCGCUGCUGUAGAUGGCUGUGAUCCCACGUGGCCUUCAGCAACUCACCGACCCGGGUGGGAUGUGCCCGGCAGUGUAGAUGGUUGAGGGGAUUUGCCCGGAUUUGACAGGGUUUAUGGGUUCCUGAUUUGACUUUGGGUUAUCUCUUUUUUUCUCCCUUUUUCCUCCUCAAACUGAUCUGCUCCUCUGUCUGAUUUUUUUCUAUAAAUAGCACCUUUUCUCUUGGUCUACUUCUUACGUUUUUUCCUUCUUUAGUCUCCUGUUCUGUUAGCUCUUGGUAGUUCUAUUAGUUUUGGUUCUUUGGCCUGCUGCGCCUGGUAGCGUGAGGUGUGGAAGUGGCAUUUUAUCCCUGCCUCCAUAUGGUUUUUAUUGGCCCUUUCAUUCCCUUCAUGUAUACUGAUCUUUUUACCAUUCUCUGCUUCUUGCUGCAUGUGGGUAUACAUCGUUUGUCGUGUUGGUAGGCGGGUUGGCGCUGUUGCCUGUAGAGAACAAAUAUAGGUAUGUCUAUUUUGUUGAUGUUUAUUUACUUGUGAUGUUUGCCGUGCUGCGUGCUAACUAGUUGCUUUUUAUUUAUGCAUGUUUAUUUACUUUUUGGCGAAAUGGUGGUAUCGAAAUGGUGGGAGUUCUUUUGUUGCUUCUAUGUUGGCAGAUGGUUUACUAGCUUACAAGAUAAUAUACAACUAGUUGUUCCCUAUUUAUUAAUUUUUUAGUAGGUUGAGCUGUGUAUUGAUUGCAUGCUUUUGACGUUUAGUGACUGAUUUGGGUGCUAUGGUAGUUUUUACGAUUUGUUUCCGUGAAUUACUUCGCGAUGUACGCCAGCACUAUUCUCUGUCGAUGUCGAUGUAUGGCAUCCUGGUUGAGAAUGAAGAAUGUACGAUUAGAAUUUAUCCUGAGGUUGAGUUAGCUAGAGGAGAUACUGUGACAGAGGCUGUGAGGUGUUGGAGCGCGUCGUGUCCUAAUAUUGAUCAAGUUGAAGAAGAUGCUGCGCGACGAUCUGUCGGAAAGCUAUGUGAUGAGUUGUGCUUUUGAUGUUAGGGAUUAACUGCUAAAGUUUGGAAUCUCACCCAAAUCUAACAUCUAGAAAAAUUUUAUAAAAAAAACAAAAGUUCAAAUGUCACGCCCCGAGCCCGAUCCUUUUGGCCGGUUCAAGAGCGUCAAACAGACGCCGAACG
rnacentral:lncRNA from 1 species